GGAGGAGGGUGCCUGGUGCUCCAGGCUGGCUGCUGGGACUCUACAAGGACAAGGCCCUGAGAGAGACUGUGUAUGACUUGGCCGGUGGGCUGAGUCAGCAAGGACCCACCACAAACAGAGGGAGAGAGUGGAAGCACUCAGGCAGAGGGUGCUCACGAGAGCUCAAGCUGUUUGGAUACAAUCUGCUUCUUCACAGACUGUGCCAGCCGCAGUAACUGAUCCUCAGUUAGCUCUGAAAAAGAAGAAAUCAUGUGAGAAAAGGGUUUUUUUCUGGGCGGUAAGAGGGUAAGUGCAGAGGGUGGACAAGCCCAGGUGGAUAACCAUCAGUUGUCUGUACUCCCUUCUGAUGACCUCAAAGCACUUUAAUAAUUUGACUAAAUUAAGUUUUAAUAUCCUUGUGAGGGGGUGAGUGGUUGAAAUUACUAUUCCCAUUACGCAGAUUGGGCCGCACAGGCACAGACAAGGGAGGAAGUGGCUUGCCCAAAGUCACAGAACAAGUGGUGGCAAAACUGGAGAGUCCUGAUUCCCCCACUUCUGUUGCUUAACCACCCUUUCUCAGGUUCUUGCUGAGGUUUCAGGUCCUCUGUGUUAUAUUCUGGGUUCUCCAAUGCAUUGUGUUUCCAAGAGGGUGCCUCAAUAUGAGGAUUCUGCUAGGAUGCCAUAACGGGAUGUAAACUCCAUCACAAUGCUAUGUCUGGCAAAUGGUACACUGUAUUAGCUGGCACUGUCUGCCAAAAGCAGGUCCAAAUUCUCAGCAGACUGUACCCUGCCGUAGCCAAGAAUCUAAGGAAUGUCUGAACCAUGCGAGUUCUCCUUCAUCGUUCAUUCUGGUCUUCGUAGGCAGACUCAUUUCUUAUGUAUUGGUGUGGUUGGGUGCCCCCAUUAAAAUACCCAGAACUUAUUCUUACCACCAAGUGCUUGAAGAGUGUAGAGAACCGGCCCAGCAAGGUAAAGAUUUAUGUUUCCUGCAGAAUCCUGUAAAGUGUUUAGCAAGUCUUCCAAGUCUGGAUUCUCACUCUUUAGCUCACAUUUAUCAGCAUCUUCAAAAGCCUCUUCUAGCUGUAGGUUAGGGGGGGAAAAAAGCUUCAGGACUGAGGAUUGGGGGCUACUAAGAGAAACAAUAAUCCAGCGUGGUCAUGUGAAGUACUGAAGUAUGCAUCUGACUGUGCUGGGAGGAAAGCGGUGUUGGGUGACCACAUUUUUCCUAACCUCAGCUAUCUACUAUAGCACAACUGGGGAUUACGGGAGUUGAAUAUUCACAUUUGCUGCUGUAAGAUACAGGAUGCUGGAUGAAAUGUUCCAUUGGCAUAUUCACAUGUAGGAAUUUCGGUGUGCCUUUUAAAAUGAUACUCAUAGAAGUUAGACAAAAGAGGCCUACCAAGUAAUUCUGCCCAUCUUCCUUCCAGAGCAAGGCUGGGGUUUCGCGUUUAGUUUAUCUACUUAUAUGGCAAUGGGGACCAGAUCAGAAGGUGUUGAACUGACAGAUGGUCACAGGAUAGGAAGGACCCCUGAGUGGGGGCGGAAGGUCUUUAAACCCAUAAUGACUGAAAAAAGGAGCUUUACCUUGAGUUUGAGUUCUUGCAAGAGGUCGAUGUUUAUUAUCAUGGCUAUGAUUGAUUUUAAGAACUUGGCACGCAGAUCUGUGGACAACUGUAAGAGCUCUGCACAUUCCUUUUCAACUUCUCUCUGUAGGCCUUCCAUUCCUCCAUCUGAAAACAGCAGAGGAGAGUCAAAAUGCAGGAUUCCCUGCUUGUCCCAGUUCAAAAGGGUCAGAUAGGACUCAAAAUUUAGAUGUGGAAAACUUAGAUUUGGAAAGGCUUCUGUGAAUAUUCACAGAAUCACACAUUAGGUAAUUAAUAAUACUUUGUUCUCAGUUAAUGCCUCCUAUCCAAGGAUCUUGAUACGUUUUCUUAUUAAAGUGAAUAUUUUUCUAUGUUACAGAACUAACUUGUCCAAAGUCACAAGAUGAGUUAAUAACAGCCUAGAAUACAAUACAAAUCAUCUCAUUCUAAUUCCUUCACUGAAAAAAAGAUUAGUCCACUAAAAUAUUUCCAAGCCACAGGUUAAGGGUAGUCUAUGUGAAAUGCACAGCAGCAUAAACCAUUGCUUUGUCAAGGAAUUUUAUAUGAUGAUUGUCAGGUUUACACCACUUUACAUUAACAAGUACAGUGAGAGAUGAAAUUGUUACAUAAUGACUUCAAAUUUUUGUUUACAGACAUUCUGACGCUGCUUUCUGAUAAGUGAGAAAUAUCCAAAUCACAUGAAAGUCAACAUAAAUUGUCACUGUCUUAUAUUUGCCACUUAAACUGUGUCAAUUUUGAUUUUCAUGCUGUGGCAUCUGGUGAAAUUUCAAAUCCUGUAUAUGAGAUCUCUGUAUGAGAGAUGACAAGAAUAUACCUUGUGAGCAUGAUUCCCCACUCCUUUGAACUUUGUGUCAUCACUUACACCUGUGCAAACAACAUGUGCAUCACUGAACACCUGUUCAGAAUGUAUGUAAAACAUUUUAGUGGGUAUGAGUCAGUUCUGAAUUGGUAGCAUUUACAUCCAUUUUGCACAGGCGUUUGUGACUGUAAAGGUGAAAAAUUGGAAAGCAGUCAGGCCCUGAAACUCAGUAUACCGUCCAGAAACAAAUCUUUAUAACCUAUGUGGUGCAGACAUCAAGCUAUGGAGUAAUAUUUUUCUAGCUGGCUUGUGGAUAUUUCCAUAGUCUGUGGGUACCUUUCUGGUAGUUCAGAGUGAAAUGUUCUGAGAAUCAAGCAGUGGGAUGUCAAAAGAGGUGGGUCUGUGAGAGGAUUUCUUUGUCAUGAAGUGCUCUGCAGAGUGAAAAGUCUAGGAAAUCUAUGUAUCUCUAGGUGGCUUCCCUGAGCAAUGACUUAUAAGGUCAGAACACCCUGAAACGAUUUGUCUACAUUGUAUCCUGAUGUCCGAUGAGGAUGUUAUAAAGAGCUACCUACCUGGGGAGUAAUCAGAUUCCUCUGUUGGACCUGUGAAGGCAGAGAGGUGAAGGAAAAAUUAUGAAUUGUUGUCAACACGAAUGUGCAUUUAUCUUUACUCCACUAAAAGGACUGUGUCCGUAUAAAGGUGGAUGAGUCUUGUGGAUGAUGCUUACCCCAUGAUUCACUUUGAAUAAUGAGUGGCUUGAUUCUGAAUGCCAAGACGCAGUCCUUAGGGAUAACUAUGACUCUCUGGUUGCCUCUGGUGCCCUGGUUCAUGGAAAGAGGAGUUAGCGAGCACAAACAGCACAGAGAUGUGCUAAAAAGAGGGGGCUGUUCCCCCCCCCUGCAUUUCUUGAAUCUAGGUAGAAAUCGAACCUUUAAUGAAAAAUGGACACAGAUCUCAUUCAGAAUGCUGCCUUCUAUGGUACUGGACUUGGAAAAUGUGGUCUCCUCCAAAGCCUGUACAGCCUCAUUGAUCACGUACAAGUUCUCUCUGCGCUUCCUUAAACCCUCAAUGAAGGAAUGGUCCAUGUUGAUUUUCCUAAAAAAAGAAGUGAACUCUGCAUCACUACUGAGUUUCUUUCUGUUACUGUACAGUCUUGACACUGGCUCCCCUUAUUCUUGAAUUUGCCACUCUGGGGGCAGAGAGCAAGAUGAAAGCUGGCUUAAGUGUCCACCAGGGAAUUCCCCUGAUCUAAGCAGAAUCCCUGAGUUCACAAAGCCAUGGAAGCCUCUAUUCCAUCUCCUUUCAUAGUGCUGAUGAGAGGUGCGGCCAGGGGAAAUGAGAUGUGGCCCUGUUACAGCUAUUCUCAGCAGCUGACAUGGGCCCAUGGGCAGCAGCUGCAUAAGUUAGAGCAGUCCUUCCUUCCCCCGAUUUCUGCCAGCCUCACCUUUCUCCUUGUAGCAACAUGAGGUCUGCUGGUCUGACCUCUACUCUUUUCACCUUGAUGGACUUCCCUUGGUAGGUGCUGGCAGCUCCUGUCACUUCCGUUCUCACAAAGUCAUCAGGCAGCUUAAUAGUCCACGCUACUGUGCCAUCAAUGUAAUCCUUAACAGUGAUUGAGCGUGAAUCCUGAACAUCUGGGGUGGGGGGAAGAGAAAGCCUGCAAGAGUUAACACUUUCUCUUUGUACCACUACUAUGUAAUUAUCGCCCAUCGCUCCUGUGCACACAGGAAGGAUGAGGCCUGACAGAGUUCAGACACAAGCAGCAUAGUUCCCUAGCCAGUCACUGAAAGAAAACAGCCUCUCAAGCCCAGGAUGCUGCAGGCAAUGUUGCCACACUGGACAGGUAAAUAAUGUGGGAAGACUGGCCUUACCUGGAUUUCUGCUGUCCUGUCCAGGUACCAGAACGUCACAGAGCCUAAAUCCUGUUUUGUAGUAGCGGUGCUGAGUCCUCCAUAAUCUCUUUUUUGGUUGCCUUUGAACGAGGUUUAGGGGUCUGAAUUGAUCUUGGUCGAUAAGGCUGCAAACUGGGAUCAGAUCUCCAUCGUGAGCCAGCUGCUUUGCCAGGUCUUUGGUUACCUUGUGAAACAUCCUGCCUGCAGCCUGCUGUACCCUUUAACUGAAGCGAAAUGUACUUUUACCUUAGGAGGCAAAGACAAGUGAAGCAAACACAUCUGAAAUCAACUGGAGGUUGCAGCAAGGUAUCUUGCUCUUUGACAGCAAGUUUUACCUGCUCAGAGCUCUUAAAAACAAGCAAAAAACCUAAGGCCAUGUUGGCCAAAAUUAUGCUGAUCUAGCUUAUGCUGGCAUACAGCCAUUGUUGUUAUUAAAUCACUUGUGUGAGUGCACACUGGGAUCGUUGUGUCAGCAGUGUGUGUCCUCAACAGGAGUGCUUGCAUUGAUUGUAUUGUCAGGGGGCAACAUUGUGGGACUGCUCCUGGAGACCAGUAACAGUUGAUGUAAGCAACAGGGUCUGUAUUGACACUGUGUCCACCUAAUUAUCUUGACUGCGACUCUACGCUGCUUGGCGAGGUGGUGUUACUAAAUUGGCGUUGAGAUGCACUUACGUGGGUGGGAGCCAAAUUUAAGUGAAGACACUGCCACAGCUAGGUCGACACAUGGCAGCGUAGAAAGGCCUAAGCUCCACAAAUGGCCUGUGGGAUGGGCCACGGUUAUUACGCCCAGUUAGAGAGACGUGAUUUGCCCAAGAUCAGACACAGUGAGUCAGUUCAAGAGUUGUGAACAGGACCUACAUCUCCCAAAGUAGGUUCGUUUAAUCGUAUCCUGUCAAAUUGUAUCCUGUAUACUUUCUGAUCAGGGGCAGGGAGUGGAGCCCCCCUUAGGGAAAGUGAGCCCUUGGCUCUGCCCCGCCCCCCCCAUGACCUCUCCCCAUAGCUGGAGCCCCGAAACCCCCUUCCCCGCAGCUGGAGCCAUGAGUCCUUCCUCCCUGCCAGAGGUGCCCUGAACACCCCUCUCCCCACCGCAGUCUGCUCAGAGGAGCCGCAGGCCAGUCCCAGCCAUACCUCCCUUCCACUCCCCAAGCUGUCCCAGGGAAAAGCCUCUCAUUCUUGUCCGAAGAAGAUUUUGAUAUGCCUCAUGCAGGUUCCGGGGUGGCUGAGGAGGUGAUAUUUGCUACUCAGCUUCCUGGGUUCAUCAGUAAUCUUUCUCAAGACCUGGGAGAUUACUGGUGAACCUGGGAAACUGAAUAGCAUAUGCCGCCUCAGCCACCCGGAAUCUGCAUGGGGCAUAAUCAAAAACUUCCCCCAAAACCCUGCAACCAGGGGUUGGGCAGCACCCCAGCCCUGGCCUAUUAUACCCGCCGCCCAUGUCUCUGAUCAUGUAGAUUGUUUAGGGUCAGAGGAUGAAAUUAGUUUCUAAAGGAACUUGAUCAUUACUCCCUGCGAUGGGUGAACAAUACAAAUGAAAUUUCUUGAAUGAUAACAGAUUAGUUGAAGAGUAUUCCAGACAAUGUUGUCCUCUCCCAGUGCUGGGAUUCUAGCAGCCCACUACACCUUAUCCUUAAAAACAGCUGUCACCAGCAGGCAUUCAGCUUGAACCAUCAACAUCCAUAUUUCAUGAAAUAAAGAGCUAGAGAAGUUUCUUGCUGCAAAGAGCUUAUGAUCUAAGGAGGGCAAUAAUAAAUAAUUAGCUAUUAUGCAGGUACUUUUCAUCAGUAGAUCCAAGAGCACAAAGGUAGGUUGCUGUCACUGGCAUUUCACAGAGAGGGAAACUGAAGCAUAGAGUAGACAUUACUUGCCCAAGGUCACAGAGCGAGUCAGUGGCAGAGCUGGGGAUAGAGCCUGGAAGUUUUCACUUCUGGCAUCUUGCUCUUAACCACUAGACCCAGACCUUCCAGAGCUCGCAAUCCACAGCCCAGUGCCCUGGGGAAAGGCAGAGCAGUCAAAGAUCUGGACAACAAACACUGAUUAAUGGAUGCUGCAUAUAAUAAUUCCAAUACAGAGAUUUACAAAAUGUUUUCAAAAUGAUUCAGUAGUUUCGUUUUGGAAUUGUAGAGGGGGAGUUCACAUAACUCCCCACACAGGUUUGGAGACAGCCUGUCUAAUUCAGUGCCAGUUCCCCCAGCAUGAACAUACAGGACUGGAUGUUGUUAGCUUAGGUCAAUAAUAGGGAGCAUGGAAGCUGAGAGCUUCCCUAUCCUCACAGCUGAGAGUUAAACAUCUGGCUGGGGCAGAAAGGAAACUAGUGCCCUCCAGGCAACAUCCCUUUUCAGGUCUGUCUCAUGAGCUCACCUCUGCCCCCACUUUUCUCUGUACUUUGACCAUCAUCUGAAGUAUUAGGAUGUGGAGGGCAUAGGAAAGGACAAAGUAAUGUGAUCGUAAUUUACAGAACUAAACUUGCCCAGACAGAAGAAAGUUAUAUGCUUUUGCUCUGUGCCCAGUGAAAUUUCCCCUCACGGCUCGGAUUCAGCUCCUAUGAAGAAGGACAGAAGGGUUGCUCCUCCCCACCUUUAUACUUCAGGUUAAUACUGUCCACCCCUCCUGAAAAAAAAAUCACUGUUCUUUUCUUCCUGUGUUUUACAUAACUUGCUUUACUCAUAGCCCAUAAGUGGUGGUUCUUUUUAAAACCAAACACUCCAGGAGCAUGGAUUUGUUUAAAGAGCAGAAAGGCACUGAUUAGAAACCAAACGGGGCAGGGUCUUUUUUUUGCGCUCCAGUGUAACAAGGAAUAGCCCUCCCCCACUGGUAUUACCCUAAGCUUGCAUCAUUAUUUCAGUCUCUUGAUUAAACACUUACCACUCUGUCUGAAGACUUGGCAGGACCAGUUUGUUAGUGAUAUGAUCAGCUGUGUCUCUCCUCAUCUCAGCAUGGCCUCUGAUAGUUUCCUUUUUCAGUAGUUGAAAUAAAAAAAAAACCCUUAUUCCUCUGUACUUCCUGUGACAGUACAGGAAGUGGUUGCCUGAACCGACCUGCCGAAGUGUGGUUUUUGUUUUUUUUUUUUUGCUUUCAAUUCUGCCUCCAAGCAGCUGGUCUUCUCGUUUUUUUCCAUCUCAGCAUUUUGGCAAACUUUCUGCAAACUCCUGUUUGGCGUUGCUUGGCCUACGUCAGGCACAGAGGCUGUACUGUGGACUUGGACAACAUGCCUCCUCCAGAGUACUACAGUGCCACUUCAGGGUGUCAUCUCCAGCAGCGACAGGCCCCAGCAGCAUGCCCUGCUCGGUAUGGAGCCUUGUGAGAGAAGCAAAUGGGCGGACGUGGAGUUGUGGAUUGCAUGUUUUACACCUCAUCAGUUGUAUAUAUACAAAAUUAUGUGGACACUUUAUACUUUUGGGGCGACAUCAUAUAAGAAAGGAACCUAGACAGAUUAACUCAUCCCCUCUGCAGACUGACUCUUUAAAUGGGCAAAAACUGGGCCUCCAAUGUGAAAAUACCCAGGUUCAGAUGGCAGAGGCAGUGUGAGGGGUGUUUGCUUAU